rnacentral:lncRNA from 1 species
GAGUUUGAUCAACAGUGAGACGGAAGAGAUCGGGGCUGAGCUUCACUGUUCUAAGGUUUCUCAACAUGAGGAGCUCAUCUGAUUGGCCAAAGGAGGUCGGCAAGAUGUUAAAACCAGCAAUGGCAGCAAUGAGAGACGUUUUCUCUCUCUUCGAAGCACGCGAAACAGUGACUCUUGAUGUUGCUUGCACCGGCGAGGGGUGGAGCGAGGCAAUGAUGGCCUAAAAUGAGUGUUAGAUGGUGAAAUGGGAUUAAUUGACGGUGAAUGGGUGAAGAAAUGGGUGGUGACAAUGGUGUAUGACGAGAGAGAAGGAGUGAGGUAGGAGGAGGGGCCAAGUUGAAUUUUUUUUUUUCAA